rnacentral:rRNA from 1 species
CCCUUAGAUGUUCUGGGCUGCACGCGCGCUACACUGAAGCUAUCAACACGUUUUCCCUCCCUGAGAAGGGCGGGUAACCUUUUGAAUCAGCUUCGUGGUAGGGAUCGGGGCUAGCAAUUGUUCCCCGUGAACCAGGAAUUCCUAGUAGACGCGAGUCAUAAGCUCGCAUCGAUUAAGUCCCUGCCCUUUGUACACACCGCCCGUCGCUACUACCGAUUGAACGUUUUAGUGAGGCAUUUGGACCGACGCAUCUCAGUUUAACCGCUGGUUUGUGUUGGAAAGACUUCCAAACUUGAGCGUUUAGAGGAAGUAAAAGUCGUAACA